ACGAAGGGGGCGAGCGUUGUUCGGAAUUACUGGGCGUAAAGGGCGCGUAGGCGGUCGGGUAAGUCACCUGUGAAAUCUCUGGGCUCAACUCAGAGUCUGCAGGCGAAACUGCCUGGCUGGAGUGUGUCAGAGGAUGGUGGAAUUCCCGGUGUAGCGGUGAAAUGCGUAGAGAUCGGGAGGAACAUCAGUGGCGAAGGCGGCCAUCUGGGACAACACUGGCGCUGAAGCACGAAAGCGUGGGGAGCAAACAGGA
rnacentral:rRNA from 1 species